rnacentral:rRNA from 1 species
GACGAACGCUGGCGGCGUGCUUAACACAUGCAAGUCGAACGGAAAGGCCCCUUUGGGGGUACUCGAGUGGCGAACGGGUGAGUAACACGUGAGUAACCUGCCCUUGACUUCGGGAUAACUUCAGGAAACUGGGGCUAAUACCGGAUAGGAAUCCUUGCUGCAUGGUGGGGGUUGGAAAGCUUCGGCGGUGUUGGAUGGACUCGCGGCUUAUCAGCUUGUUGGUGGGGUAGUGGCUUACCAAGGCUUUGACGGGUAGCCGGCCUGAGAGGGCGACCGGCCACAUUGGGACUGAGAUACGGCCCAGACUCCUACGGGAGGCAGCAGUGGGGAAGAUUGCACAAUGGGCGGAAGCCGGAUGCAGCAACGCCGCGUGCGGGAUGACGGCCUUCGGGUUGUAAACCGCUUUCAGCAGGGGCGAAGCUUGUGGUGACGGUACCUGCAGAAGAAGCACCGGCUAACUACGUG